GUUCCGGUGGCUCAGUCGGUAGAGCGCCGCCUCGACACGGCGGAGGUCCCUGGUUCAAGUCCAGGUCGGAACAC
rnacentral:tRNA from 1 species